GUGGGGAAUAUUGCACAAUGGGCGCAAACCUGAUGCAGCCAUGCCGCGUGUGUGAAGAAGGCCUUCGGGUUGUAAAGCACUUUCAGCGGGGAGGAAGGCGGUGAGGUUAAUAACCUCAUCGAUUGACGUUACCCGCAGAAGAAGCACCGGCUAACUCCGUGCCAGCAGCCGCGGUAAUACGGAGGGUGCAAGCGUUAAUCGGAAUUACUGGGCGUAAAGCGCACGCAGGCGGUCGGUCAAGUCGGAUGUGAAAUCCCCGGGCUCAACCUGGGAACUGCAUUCGAAACUGGCAGGCUAGAGUCUUGUAGAGGGGGGUAGAAUUCCAGGUGUAGCGGUGAAAUGCGUAGAGAUCUGGAGGAAUACCGGUGGCGAAGGCGGCCCCCUGGACAAAGACUGACGCUCAGGUGCGAAAGCGUGGGGAGCAAACAGGAUUAGAAACCCGAGUAGUCC
rnacentral:rRNA from 1 species